UGUGUGUGUGUGUGUGUGUGUUCAACUGGUGGACAAAGGCAUAAAGACGGGUGCAAAAAUAAAUCCUCUUUUGCAACCCAGAGCUCAUUGUUCAGUAUGAGUUUUGAUACAUACAAGAAGGAAUAUG
rnacentral:snoRNA from 1 species